GACGAACGCUGGCGGCGUGCUUAACACAUGCAAGCCGAACGAUGAAGCCGGAGCUUGCUCUGGUGAAUUAGUGGCGAACGGGUGAGUAACACGUGAGUAACCUGCCCUUGACUCUGGGAUAACUGCUAGAAAUGGUAGCUAAUACCGGAUACGACCCUCGGCGGCAUCCCCAGGGGGUGGAAAGGAUUUCUGUCAAGGAUGGACUCGCGGCCUAUCAGCUAGUUGGGGGGGUAGCGGCUCACCAAGGCGACGACGGGUAGCGGGCCUGAGAGGGUGACCGGCCACACUGGGACUGAGACACGGCCCAGACUCCUACGGGAGGCAGCAGUGGGGAAUAUUGCACAAUGGGCGCAAGCCUGAUGCAGCAACGCCGCGUGAGGGAUGACGGCCUUCGGGUUGUAAACCUCUUUUAGUAGGGAAGAAGCGAAAGAGACGGUACCUGCAGAAAAAGCACCGGCUAACUACGUGCCAGCAGCCGCCGUAA
rnacentral:rRNA from 1 species